UUUCUCGGGACCGCUCAACUUCAGGAAUUGCGGCUUGUCUGUUUUGCCUCACACGAAGCUGAAAACACUUCAGCAGCCUCUCUCAGCUUCGGUGUGGACACAUCGGCUCUUAUGUGCCCAAGUUUUUCUUCAGCCUCUGACGGCUGGGUGCACCCAUGAAAACAGAGAGACAACACUGCCACCACGAGGUCAAACUUGAACAUUACACCAGACAGCUCUUAUCAAGCAAACUGUCACUAAAAGAAGACCUUCACACAUCUUUUUUGAAUAUUAAUGAAAGAACAAAGUGUUUGAUCUCUUUUUGUUUUAUUUUAAUGUAGCAUGAACUGAGAAUUAUUUAGACCAGACAAAAUACUAUUAAUUUACUGUGGUCCUUUUUUGUGAGCUCAUUUGAAUUGUAGCCUCGGCACUUGAGCCCUGGAGUUCGACACCCCUGAGUUAACCUAACAUGCAUAUGUGUAAACUGUGGGACAAAGAGGAGCACCUGAGGAAGCACACAAAACAAUCCCAGCUGGCAUUUGAACCAUUCCAAACCACUCCACCACCAUCCCACCCAAUUACAGAUGUUUUCUUUAUGUCAGGGCCCUCUCUGACCUCUGCUAGUAUGGCCUUUGCUCGUUCUAUGUACAGUAUAUGAUCACUCCUAUGCUGAUUAAUUGUUUCACUGGUUGCGGAUUCCCCCAUCGUCCUCCAUGUGCAUGUAAUACAUUAUUUUAUAUUUAAGUAAACUUUGUGUGUGAACUCCCAGCUUUGAGACAGCUUGUGACACACAUUUUUAAGACUCAAACUGACUCUGGUGUGAACAUCUCCAGCCAAGCCUUUCAACCCAGGAAUAUGAAGUUUGACUCUUUAAAAGUAGAAAAAAUCAUUUUCUGUACAUUAACACAAAUCAGAACAUCUAUGAGAGCUCAUGUGAAAAAUGGUGUUAAGAGAAACUGCUCAGGGACCCUGGAUCUGAGCGACCUAGUGUCCCUGAGCAGUUAUGGACUUGUAUUAUAUUAUAUGUGUUUUGGUGUUGCUGUCCCUCGUUCUCCCUGCUUGCAGGUAUGUGUGUGGGUGUGUGUGUGUCUGGGAGCACCUGUUUACAGGCACCUUCAGGCCUGGUAGGUGGUUGGCCACACCUGAAGACCAUCACACAGCUGAUGAAGCCCCGUCAGAGGAGCUACUUAAGAGUGUGGUGGAGCUCUCUCCGACACUGGAUCAUUGCGUGGCUACACGAGAAGUGUGGAGACGAGAGGGCAGCGAGCACAGGGUGCUCAGACACUGAGGAGCGGAGACAAGGAACACUAGCAAUGGAAAAAGGACAUGUCACGGGAGUCGGGAACGCACUGAGGAUUUAUUGUUAUGUCUUCCAUUCACUGUAAAUAAACGCUGAGCUCCA